rnacentral:sRNA from 1 species
UAAGUUAAGCUCGAUAAAGCCGAAGGUAU